rnacentral:lncRNA from 1 species
AUUGGUGUAAAUAUUUUUCAUUUCUUUCUCAGCUUGAAGCAGUUCCUUCAAUCUCUUCUACCACAGGAAGCAGACUAUUUACACUCUGUGAAUUCCACCUUCUGGAAACAGCUCCUAGGGACAAAUCCAACUCCUGAAACAGUUCUACUAUAUUUUAGCAGGAUAGCUUCUGGAAUUGAAGAGGGAUUUUCCAGAGCAGCUGGUGUUUCCUAUUUCACAGAUAUUCUUGCAACCAC